UACGGAGGGGGCAAGCGUUAUUCGGAAUUAUUGGGCGUAAAGCGCGUGUAGGCGGCUCGGUAAGUCUGCUGUGAAAGUCCAAGGCUCAACCUUGGAAAGCCGGUGGAUACUGUCGAGCUCGAGUCCGGAAGAGGCGAGUGGAAUUCCUGGUGUAGCGGUGAAAUGCGCGGAUAUCAGGAGGAACACCGAUGGCGAAGGCAGGUCUCUGGGCAUUAACUGACGCUGAGGAGCGAAAGCAUGGGGAGCGAACAGG
rnacentral:rRNA from 1 species